rnacentral:rRNA from 1 species
GAGCGGACAGAUGGGAGCUUGCUCCCUGAUGUUAGCGGCGGACGGGUGAGUAACACGUGGGUAACCUGCCUGUAAGACUGGGAUAACUCCGGGAAACCGGGGCUAAUACCGGAUGGUUGUUUGAACCGCAUGGUUCAAACAUAAAAGGUGGCUUCGGCUACCACUUACAGAUGGACCCGCGGCGCAUUAGCUAGUUGGUGAGGUAACGGCUCACCAAGGCAACGAUGCGUAGCCGACCUGAGAGGGUGAUCGGCCACACUGGGACUGAGACACGGCCCAGACUCCUACGGGAGGCAGCAGUAGGGAAUCUUCCGCAAUGGACGAAAGUCUGACGGAGCAACGCCGCGUGAGUGAUGAAGGUUUUCGGAUCGUAAAGCUCUGUUGUUAGGGAAGAACAAGUACCGUUCGAAUAGGGCGGUACCUUGACGGUACCUAACCAGAAAGCCACGGCUAACUACGUGCCAGCAGCCGCGGUAAUACGUAGGUGGCAAGCGUUGUCCGGAAUUAUUGGGCGUAAAGGGCUCGCAGGCGGUUUCUUAAGUCUGAUGUGAAAGCCCCCGGCUCAACCGGGGAGGGUCAUUGGAAACUGGGGAACUUGAGUGCAGAAGAGGAGAGUGGAAUUCCACGUGUAGCGGUGAAAUGCGUAGAGAUGUGGAGGAACACCAGUGGCGAAGGCGACUCUCUGGUCUGUAACUGACGCUGAGGA